rnacentral:rRNA from 1 species
UACAGAGGGUGCGAGCGUUGUUCGGAAUUAUUGGGCGUAAAGGGCGCGUAGGCGGUGCGGUAAGUCACCUGUGAAAUCUCCUGGCUCAACUGGGAGCUUGCAGGCGAAACUGCCGUGCUGGAGUGUGGGAGAGGUGCGUGGAAUUCCCGGGUGUAGCGGUGAAAUGCGUAGAGAUCGGGAGGAACACCUGUGGCGAAGGCGGCCGGCUGGGGGUGCCCUGCG